rnacentral:rRNA from 1 species
UGUCGGGAGCUUUAACAUGCAGUCGAACGGCAGCGCGAGAGAGCUUGCUCUCUUGGCGGCGAGUGGCGGACGGGUGAGUAAUAUAUCGGAACGUGCCCAGUAGCGGGGGAUAACUACUCGAAAGAGUGGCUAAUACCGCAUACGCCCUACGGGGGAAAGGGGGGGAUCGCAAGACCUCUCACUAUUGGAGCGGCCGAUAUCGGAUUAGCUAGUUGGUGGGGUAAAGGCUCACCAAGGCAACGAUCCGUAGCUGGUUUGAGAGGACGACCAGCCACACUGGGACUGAGACACGGCCCAGACUCCUACGGGAGGCAGCAGUGGGGAAUUUUGGACAAUGGGGGAAACCCUGAUCCAGCCAUCCCGCGUGUAUGAUGAAGGCCUUCGGGUUGUAAAGUACUUUUGGCAGAGAAGAAAAGGUAUCCCCUAAUACGGGAUGCUGCUGACGGUAUCUGCAGAAUAAGCACCGGCUAACUACGUGCCAGCAGCCGCGGUAAUACGUAGGGUGCAAGCGUUAAUCGGAAUUACUGGGCGUAAAGCGUGUGUAGGCGGUUCGGAAAGAAAGAUGUGAAAUCCCAGGGCUCACCUUGGAACUGCAUUUUUAACUGCCGAGCUAGAGUAUGUCAGAUGGGGGUAGAAUU